CUCUAGGCCAUUACUGGGACUCACUGGCCCAGUCUCUCCAGGAUCCAGGAUGGCCCUUGUCCUUGCUUAACUCCCUCUCCUCUCUGCAGGCCCCUGCGUUCCUAAUCUGGUCCUUGCCUGAUCCUCCCCCAUCCCCAGGGGAGCUGGUCAGCGUCGACUUCUUACGCCCUCUUUUGCUCUGGCUCUGGUGACCCAUCGGGAACACUACAACAACACAGAGCCCGUUUCCAGUGUGGGGUCUGUCUACGCAGCCAGGUUUGUGCCUCACUACAGCUGGUGUUCCCCUCCAGAAGCUAUACCUCACGCAGAGCGGGGAACCUUCAAAGCAGCCAUGCCUUCCUGGUUGCUCCCUUGCAUCCUGAUCCAGUCUGAUGGUGUUUUUGCAAUUUUCCUGUCAGCUUGGUGGGAGAAGUUCAAAGAGACUCUGUCUUCCUUUCUGGCUUCCUUUCCAGACAGAGAAGCUUUCUCUCGGCUGCUCCCCUGCUCCACCUCUCUCGAGGAAAUUGAUGUCUUUCCUCCUCCCUCCCCCCACCAAGAAAAGUCUGUUCGUGAGGAUUAUCCUAAGAGCAGGUGGGGGGAACAUCUGAAGUACAAGGCAGGUCAGAAGUCAGCCGACCCUGGCUGUGGGAUCUCUUCCCCAACGCCCUGGGUGAAGUUAGAUUCUCAGUGGCUUUUUGGAAGGCGAAGCUCAGAAAGAGAGGGACUAGAGGAACAUUAGUAUCUCUCAUUAGAACACCUGCAGUCACCAAUUCUGAAAGAAGGUGAUGGAUUGUUCACAACUUGCUUCUGGGCAACACUUCCUAGGAGCCGGUGACAAAGCGGAAUUUGCUGCACCUGCUACCUUCCUGUGGAUGAAGCUUAGCGGCUGAGGCUAUUCCUUAUUGGAUCCCAGGGCUCUCAGAAGAGGCCUUUGAGCUGAGAAUGUGCGGCAGUCACUUCUGGCCCAGAUCGGGAGUUUUCCAGUUCUCCCAAGGCGUUAGGGUCGCCCAGCACUGUACUUGGUCAAUUCUAACUGCCCCAGAAAACCUAGUGCAGUGCUCAGGAAAGUAUACACAGUUCAUGUCACUCCUGUGUCCCUGUUCUCCCUCUUUCCUCCCGAUUACAAUGAGUCCACAGGACCUGGGAGGGAGAGGUGCCAUGCCAGAUACAACCGCUCACUUCAGAACAGCCUGCCGGGCCCAAGGAUAAGCCCAGAGCUUCAAGUCUUCCUUUGAAGGUCAGCACUGAAGCCAUCCAGAGACAAACUGGGCACCGUCCCUGAAUCUGGGGACAGGACUAAGUAGGUAAGACUGUGAGCAGGUCAGGAGACAAGGUGAACAGUAAGCCCAGAGCGAGCAGGAACACGCUCUGAAAAUUGAAAUCCCAAAAAGAUUAGAGAGGGCUGGUUUCCAGGGAGGACCUUGGAGAAGGCUCAAAUGGCAGAGGGAUGUAUGUUGAGGCUCUGGAGAAAGGGGGAAGGCACCCUGAGGCAGGAGAAGGCCAGAGCUGCAAAUGAGGGCAGUCAGCAAAAAUUAUGUCUUGCCCCUUAAAAGGGAAGAGAACUGAGGGUGGAAAUUUCCACUAAGAAAGAUUGUCAAGAUGCUGGGUAAAAGUGAAAGGGGAAAGAUAUACUCAGGGCAGGAAAAUCACACCAUCAGAAUCAAAGUGAUUAACUCCGGGCCUAGUGAUAAGAGAAGGAAGGGAAUCAAGUAAGUAGUGAAAUUUUAACCACCUUAGUCAAUCAUGUGACCCAACAGUACCUGGGAUUUUCCCUGCAGAAUUAAGGCAGAUGGACUCGGAAUACUGUUUGUAGCCACAGAUGGUUGGUUAGCUGUGCGCCAAUUACGCGCCCUUCCUUAGGGUGCAGGUGAUGCUGGGAAGUGCCCACCCCCAGGCAGGGACUAUAUUCCCCAGUUCCCCUUGCAGUAAGGGUGGGACCAUGUGACUAGUACUCACUAAUGGAAAUGAUGGAGGUGGCAUAUAUCACUUCCAAAUAGACGUGGCUAAGAAGCAGGUGUUCCUUCUCGACCCACCCUCUUUUUCCCCAUCUGUAAUGGCUUUGAAGGUAUGCGCUCAAGUGGACCAAGUGACAAACUGGAAGGACCCUGGAUCCCUGAAUCACCAUGGUGAAAGCCGCCCACCAAACAUCCACACUAGACGGCUGUGCAAAUGAGGAAACUGAGGCACAGAAAGACUCUAUGACCUGCCCAAUGCCACUUAGCUGGAGCUGCUUAACAGGCUCGACUAUAACCCAGCACGUGAAAUGUACAAUAACAUCCGGAUGUGGCACCAGGCCCCGCUUCUACCACACUCCAGCAAAAAUAAACCUCUCCAUCCAAAUAUA